AACGAACGCUGGCGGCAUGCCUAACACAUGCAAGUCGAACGAAGUCUUCGGACUUAGUGGCGCACGGGUGCGUAACGCGUGGGAAUCUGCCCUUGGGUACGGAAUAACUCAGAGAAAUUUGUGCUAAUACCGUAUAAUGUCUUCGGACCAAAGAUUUAUCGCCCAAGGAUGAGCCCGCGUAAGAUUAGCUAGUUGGUGGGGUAAAAGCCUACCAAGGCGACGAUCUUUAGCUGGUCUGAGAGGAUGAUCAGCCACACUGGGACUGAGACACGGCCCAGACUCCGACGGGAGGCAGCAGUGGGGAAUAUUGGACGAUGGGCGAAGGCCUGAUCCAGCAAUGCCGCGUGAGUGAUGAAGGCCCUAGGGUUGUAAAGCUCUUUGACCAGGGAUGAUAAUGACAGUACCUGGAGAAUAAGCUCCGGCUAACUCCGUG
rnacentral:rRNA from 1 species